AACGAACGCUGGCGGCAGGCCUAACACAUGCAAGUCGAGCGCCCUUUCGGGGGAGCGGCGGACGGGUGCGUAACGCGUGGGAAUAUGCCCUUCUCUACGGAAUAGCCUCGGGAAACUGAGAGUAAUACCGUAUACGCCCUUUGGGGGAAAGAUUUAUCGGGGAAGGAUUAGCCCGCGUUGGAUUAGGUAGUUGGUGGGGUAAUGGCCUACCAAGCCGACGAUCCAUAGCUGGUUUGAGAGGAUGAUCAGCCACACUGGGACUGAGACACGGCCCAGACUCCUACGGGAGGCAGCAGUGGGGAAUCUUAGACAAUGGGGGCAACCCUGAUCUAGCCAUGCCGCGUGAGUGAUGAAGGCCUUAGGGUUGUAAAGCUCUUUCAGCUGGGAAGAUAAUGACGGUACCAGCAGAAGAAGCCCCGGCUAACUCCGUG
rnacentral:rRNA from 1 species